CAACUACUCCCUCUGUCCCAAAUUUCUUGUCUUUGAUUUGUCUAGAUACAAAUGUAUCUAAUACUAAAAUGUGACUUGAUACAUCAGUAUCUAGACAAAUCUAAGACAAGAAUUUUGGGACGGAGGGAGUACUUU
rnacentral:pre_miRNA from 1 species